GAGAAAUGAUGAACAUACAAUUGGUCCGUGUUGCUGAAUUAGUCGUGACUGAUAAAUUUUAACCUAAUUCUGAUCUC